UAUUAACGCCAGCCUACACCUGUACCGUUUCCACUUUCCCGCCAAUCCGAAAACCUCCAGCAUCUCCUCUGACCAUAAAACCACCAGUCCUCCUUCCUCUUUCCUAGUAUUGGUAGUUUCUCCCCGCCUUAAUCACAGACACGCUUCCAUCCGAUACUUCCAGAAUGUAGCUUGUACCUCUACCCCUUUGUUGCUUCCAUUUGCCCGCGCUUCAUGCCAACUCCCGCCCCCCUGCCGAGAGAGCUCGCUCUCCUGCAACUGCCAACCUUCCUGUCCGGCCACUCCGGAUGCGGACAUUGCUGCUGAUAUCCAUUGCCCGGGGCUUUUACAUACACUACAACAGCUUUGUGGCUUUUCACUCUCUCCCACUUCAUGCCAGAUCUCCUUGCUCCCCUCAUGCUCUUGGUGUUCCCUUUUGUUUUCUUCUUCUUCUGCAUUUUUAUCCCCACUCUUGCACCUCCAAACUACUCGAGGAAACGUCAGUAUGAUUCUGUUCAUUUUCAGCGGUUCCUUUUUUCCACGAACUUCUGACUUAUGUUGAUUCUCCAUUUGCAAUCUCAACCGUUUCCCUACCUUCCGCCAAAGGAUCUACUCAUAGCGUGUUAAGAUGUUAGGGAAUGCUCUCGCAGGUAAGCUACUUAUUCCAUGGUUCUUUUUUUAUUUUUUAUUUUUAUUUUUUGGGUCAAGAUUGAAGGGUAUCACGCGUACAGUUGGAAAGAGGAGGUGAAGGCUUGCAAUCGGAGAAUCAUUUAUCAGUUUUAAUUAUUUCUGAUUCUAUUAUUCACUUCCUCAAGAGGACGACGACUUACGGUAGGCAGCAAUUGUUUCACGAAAUUUUCAUAAUAGGACCAACGAACAGAUGGGCGGCGUGCAUCAAAGGAGGUUGGUUUGGUAAUCUCCACAUCUUGAUAUAAUGUUCGCCAACUAUCCCUACAGGAAGGAUCAUUUCAUGUAUGACCAUUUUCAGGUUUUAGCACUCCAAUGGAAGAAAUAUUGAUGUUAAAAUUUAUUACUUUCUUUCGGUGAUAUUGUCUUAAUUGACAGUGUUCACUUUCCUGAUGUUGUAUCUCAGUAGAUAUUAGGGCAUAAUAUAAACUGAUAUCUUCCCUCUCAUUUGUCUAAUCAUAUAUUGAGCAAAACAUCAUCACUUGCUGCAACUUACCCGCGUUCUUCAAAACAAUGCCAACAAUGCGGACCUUUGGUGCAAUUCAAACCUUGCCAGUGGAUCUUCUCCUUCCGCUCCAAUAGCCUAACCCUUGAAUUGUCGCUCUGCCCCAGUCGUUCGUGCCUCUUGUCCGACAUUGGUGGGAUAGAGCCCAGUUCACGUACUGCUUUGUUCAUACUAGAGUUUGCUUGAAGUUUAUUAUUCAUGAAUGCACGUUUUCGAGUUCAACGAUCUAUAUUCUGGUGAUUAUGUCUCUCUUUUAUUUUAUGCCCUCAUUUUGCUUUUCUUUCCUUUGGAUAAUGACUAUUUUUGCCAUCAUAUACAUUUUGUCGGUUGAUGCCCGUCAUUACUAUCCAUUAGAGUUUGCUAUGUGAUUUUAUCAUUUGUGUAGUUCAAGAGUUUUCCGUCAUCAUGCAUGCCAAGUGCUGGCUAAAAUUCUCGUAUUGUUCCUCCUAUAUGAAGCUACAAAAAUGCCUUGGACGUCGAACCUAUCGUACGAUGCAAUUUUAUCUUCGCUUGCCAAGUUACAUUUCUUUUUUCAAUUUGUCCUGAAAUUACUGCUAUUCACCCACCCCAUCACCCAACUUGGAGAAUUAACGUUCCUAUUCACCGCACUUUCCUAUUCACCCCACUAAGAAUCCUGCACCUCUUGGUCCAAAUAUGCGUCCUCCCUGCUUCCUAAUAUUGACUCUUGUCCCAGUAAUAGUCUGAAAUCUUUCCCACUUCAUUUUCAAUCUUUUGCUCAUGGUUGCUUAUGAGAAAUCAUCGUAAAAGUAUAUACUCAAUGUUUAUAAAAAAAAAAAAGAGCAUAUAUGAGCUCUGAAAGACAAAUCCGUAUAGAUGUUGGCUUUUAAUUUAUAUGUUCAAUAUAAAAGGAACUGUUAAUAUGUGACUGUAUACAUACAAAUGCAGACAGACGACUUAUCAAUUUUGUUUGCUGACUGAAAAUAUGUUAUCCCCGUUGGUUGAUACUUUUAUCUUUAUUAGGUAUGAUUUUCAAGUGGGUUAUGUACUGAGGAUAUAUAGUCAGUAAUGGCGCUCCUCAUGUAUCAGAUGAUGGAUCAUCUAGGAGAAGCACUGGAUAUUAAUAGUUUCUUGUGGGGAUGUGGGCAAACAACCACUCGGUACUCUCUGAGGGACCUGACAUGGGAAUGAAGGUUGCUUUCUAGCUCUAAGAGUAAGCAACAUGUACUAUCGUACAACCAAAAUGUAGCAAUACCUGCCGGACUUGCUCAUAUUCCAAAAUUGACAUUCCCGUAUUUGAAAUAAUCAGGAAACUUCGAGUACAACAAUCGGUGGAAUGCCUGUGAGGGAACUGGUAUAAAUACUCUAAAGGAGUCUUUUAACAAUUUCUUGCUUUCUUUUAUCUUUGAAGCCUCUUAUGCAGUAACUGGUUCUGAGAUCCAUGUAACUUAUGUUGAAAUAAGGAUAUGGAUGCACAGUGUAUCGCCCGAGCUGCUGAGUAAAGCAGAAGAUUCAAUUCAAACAUGUAAAUUAUUUAUAGUGCCAUGUUAAUAAAUGCUUUGCAAUUCUCUCUC